rnacentral:rRNA from 1 species
GAUGAACGCUCGCGGCAGGCCUAACACAUGCGAGUCGAGGGAGAAGCCCUUUCGGGGGCAGAAACCGGCGCACGGGUGCGUAACGCGUAUGCAACCUACCUUUCACAGGGGGAUAGCCCGAAGAAAUUUGGAUUAAUACCCCAUAAUAUUAUUGGAUGGCAUCAUUUGAUAAUUAAAACUGCGGUGGUGAAAGAUGGGCAUGCGUCCUAUUAGCUAGUUGGAGUGGUAACGGCACCCCAAGGCUACGAUAGGUAGGGGUCCUGAGAGGGAGAUCCCCCACACUGGUACUGAGACAGGGACCAGACUCCUACGGGAGGCAGCAGUGAGGAAUAUUGGUCAAUGGUCGGAAGACUGAACCAGCCAUGCCGCGUGCAGGAAGAAUGCCUUAUGGGUUGUAAACUGCUUUUAUAUGGGAAGAAUAAGGCGUACGUGUACGUUGAUGACGGUACCAUAUGAAUAAGCAUCGGCUAACUCCGUG